AACGUAGGUGACGAGCGUUAUCCGGAAUUACUGGGCGUAAAGCGCGUGCAGGCGGCUUCGCAAGUCGGGCAUGAAAUCUCUCGGCCUAACCGAGAGACGCUGUUCGAUACUGCGGAGCUUGAGGGCAGUAAAAGGUGGCGGAAUUCCGCAUGUAGUGGUGAAAUGCGUAGAGAUGCGGAGGAACACCAGUGGCGAAGGCGGCCACCUAGGCUGUCCCUGACGCUGAAGCGCGAAAGCUAGGGUAGCGAACGGG
rnacentral:rRNA from 1 species